UGCAACAGUGCUGGGGAUCCAGAGGAUUGCUUCCAGCCUAAGUGUAACUUGAUUUCAUGAAUAUUUUUAAACUCCUUUUGUCUAUAAAGAAAAGGCUUUGUGUCUGCAGAGCUGGCUGCUUAUUAUUGCAGUGGAAGCCAUUCAGCGCCCAGGAGCUAUAGUUAAUUUGGGGAAGAAGAACAUCUGUCUGAAUUGUAUGCAAAUAUGCACAGUCAGAAAGGCCGUGAGAAACAGCAUCCCCCUUUCAACCUACACUACAGAUUUUGACAAUGGCAACGGGACAUGGGGGAUGCAGCGCAGAGACUGGUUAUAGAGAGGAGAGCCAUGGCUUGCAUCUCUGCUUCUCUGCAAUAACACAAACUAAGGCAAUGCCAGAAGAAGGGAUCCUGCAGGAGCAAGCUCGGUACACAGCCUGUUUUGCAGCAGGCUACCGCAGACGCAUCAAACAGUACCAGAUUUCUGUCUUUCUUGAAACAGGCACUGGUUUCGACAUACAAGAGCCUCAGUCCUGCUGUGCCCUCACACUGCACCGACCUGCAGAGGGAUUGGCAAGGCCAGGAUUUGCACAGGUUGUUGCCAGACACAGCCCUCAUUCUGGGUGCUGACACAUUAACUUCUAUGGGAAGAUGGAGGGAGAAGAAGAGAAGAGAUCACUUUCUCUUGUGGAUCCCUUCCAACUCAGCAUAUUCUAUGAUUUUAUGUUUCUCUUGCACACCAAGUGAGUGUGUGCUACUGCCCUUUGCUAGUCGAAUGGAACAACAGUGGGCCAGUCUGGCAUGUCCAGAGAUCUUUGUUUCUAAGCUGACAAGAGCAUUACCCAGCUUCUCCUAGAGCAGGAUGUUGGCUGCAUCCUGAGAUGCAGCUGAGAUGCAACUUGGUGAGCAGCUCCCUGCGUUUCUGCAGAGAGGGGCUCUGAGCAUGGCGAAGGUGACCCUAAAAGAUGGGGGUAGGGUGGGAAGCCAUGAAUGGGGGAUUCUUCUGAGAUGUGGAUGCUGGUCUGCAAGGACAGGACCUUCGCCUCAAAACAUGUUAUCAGUGGAAAAAUGCAAUGACAGCAUUUAUCAGUGGAAAACCGGCACCCUGAUUCAUGAAUCAGGUUUGCUCCUCUCUCUGCAUGCAUCGGAGUGAGGUUUUCCUUCGCCGUUCAGCCCAGCCCGUGGGAUGAGGCCACUAGAGGGAGCAGCCUGGCGGCCAGCGAUGGUCCCGAGGGACCCCUGCCCGGGUGGGGACCCCAUGGAGCAGUGGCCAGGCUGGGUGACCAGUGUGACAUUGCCAGUAAUUCCCAUCAGGAUGGGGAAGGGUUCUGCUUGUAGCACCUCCAGAUGCACCAUUUACUAGCUGUAGUCUCUGCUACUGAAAAUAUCUUGUUUUUCAUGUGUAUUUUUUUCUCUUAUAUUUUUUUUCCCACAUUAUUUCCACACGGGAGUAAGCGUGAAGCUGGUGAACUCCCA